CGUAGGUGGCAAGCGUUGUCCAGAUUUAUUGGGUUUAAAGGGUGCGUAGGCGGUCCUAUAAGUCAGUGCUGAAAUAUCCCGGCUUAACCGGGAGGGUGGCAUUGAUACUGCAGGACUUGAGUAAAGUUGAGGUUGGCGGAAUUGACGGUGUAGCGGUGAAAUGCUUAGAUAUCGUCAAGAACACCUAUUGCGAAGGCAGCUAACUAAGCUUUAACUGACGCUGAGGCACGAAAGUGUGGGGAUCAAACAGGAUUAGAUACCCUGGUAGUCCACACUGUAAACGUUGAUUACUCGCUGUUGGCGAUACACAGCCAGCGGCUUAGCGCAAGCGAUAAGUAAUCCACCUGGGGAGUACGCCGGCAACGGUG
rnacentral:rRNA from 1 species